rnacentral:rRNA from 1 species
ACCCUGCGAAGGCAAGCAAACCCUAAAAAAAGACCAUCCCAGUUCGGAUUGCAGUCUGAAACUCGAGUGCAUGAAGCUGGAAUCGCUAGUAAUCGCAAAUCAGAAUGUUGCGGUGAAUACGUUCCCGGGUCUUGUACACACCGCCCGUCACACCAUGGGAGUUGGAAAUGCCCGAAGUCAGUGACCCAACCAAAAGGAGGGAGCUGCCGAAGGCAGGUUCGAUGACUGGGGUGAAGUCGUAACAAGGUAGC